rnacentral:hammerhead_ribozyme from 1 species
AUCAAGCUGACGAGUCCCAAGUAGGAUGAAUCGCGCGUCCUGGAU